rnacentral:rRNA from 1 species
GAUGAACGCUGGCGGCGUGCCUAAUACAUGCAAGUCGAGCGAACAGACGAGGAGCUUGCUCCUCUGACGUUAGCGGCGGACGGGUGAGUAACACGUGGAUAACCUACCUAUAAGACUGGGAUAACUUCGGGAAACCGGAGCUAAUACCGGAUAAUAUAUUGAACCGCAUGGUUCAAUAGUGAAAGACGGUUUUGCUGUCACUUAUAGAUGGAUCCGCGCCGCAUUAGCUAGUUGGUAAGGUAACGGCUUACCAAGGCGACGAUGCGUAGCCGACCUGAGAGGGUGAGCGGCCACACUGGAACUGAGACACGGUCCAGACUCCUACGGGAGGCAGCAGUAGGGAAUCUUCCGCAAUGGGCGAAAGCCUGACGGAGCAACGCCGCGUGAGUGAUGAAGGUCUUCGGAUCGUAAAACUCUGUUAUUAGGGAAGAACAAAUGUGUAAGUAACUAUGCACGUCUUGACGGUACCUAAUCAGAAAGCCACGGCUAACUACGUG